rnacentral:rRNA from 1 species
CCUACGGGAGACAGCAGUGGGGAAUAUUGGGCAAUGGGCGCAAGCCUGACCCAGCAACGCCGCGUGAAGGAAGAAGGCUUUCUGGUUGUAAACUUCUUUUCUCAGGGACGAAGAAAGUGACGGUACCUGAGGAAUAAGCCACGGCUAACUACGUGCCCGCAGCCGCGGUAAUACGUAGGGGGCAAGCGUUAUCCGGAUUUACUGGGUGUAAAGGGCGUGUAGGCGGGACUGCAAGUCAGAUGUGAAAACCACGGGCUCAACCUGUGACCUGCAUUUGAAACUGUAGUGCUUGAGUACUGGAGAGGCAGACGGAAUUCCUAGUGUAGCGGUGAAAUGCGUAGAUAUUAGGAGGAACACCAGUGGCGAAGGCGGUCUGCUGGACAGCAACUGACGCUGAGGCGCGAAAGCGUGGGGAGCAAACAGGAUUAGAUACCCGUGUAGUC